GAAUCUUCCGCAAUGGACGAAAGUCUGACGGAGCAACGCCGCGUGAGUGAUGAAGGUUUUCGGAUCGUAAAGCUCUGUUGCCAGGGAAGAACGCCAUCCAGUUAACUGCUGGGUGGGUGACGGUACCUGAGAAGAAAGCCCCGGCUAACUACGUGCCAGCAGCCGCGGUAAUACGUAGGGGGCAAGCGUUGUCCGGAAUUAUUGGGCGUAAAGCGCGCGCAGGCGGUCUUUUAAGUCAGGUGUUUAAGCCCGGGGCUCAACCCCGGUUCGCACCUGAAACUGGGAGGCUUGAGUGCAGAAGAGGAGAGCGGAAUUCCACGUGUAGCGGUGAAAUGCGUAGAGAUGUGGAGGAACACCAGUGGCGAAGGCGGCUCUCUGGUCUGUAACUGACGCUGAGGCGCGAAAGCGUGGGGAGCAAACAG
rnacentral:rRNA from 1 species